GCUGAACUUCUAACUUGAAUAAACUAAGC
rnacentral:piRNA from 1 species